rnacentral:rRNA from 1 species
AUUGAACGCUGGCGGCAUGCCUUACACAUGCAAGUCGAACGGUAACGGGCCUUCGGGUGCCGACGAGUGGCGAACGGGUGAGUAAUGCAUCGGAACGUACCUUUCAGUGGGGGAUAACGUAGCGAAAGUUACGCUAAUACCGCAUAUUCUGUGAGCAGGAAAGCAGGGGAUCGCAAGACCUUGCGCUGAUUGAGCGGCCGAUGUCAGAUUAGCUAGUUGGUGAGGUAAAGGCUCACCAAGGCGACGAUCUGUAGCGGGUCUGAGAGGAUGAUCAGCCACACUGGGACUGAGACACGGCCCAGACUCCUACGGGAGGCAGCAGUGGGGAAUAUUGGACAAUGGGCGAAAGCCUGAUCCAGCAAUGCCGCGUGAGUGAUGAAGGCCUUAGGGUUGUAAAGCUCUUUUACCAGGGAUGAUAAUGACAGUACCUGGAGAAUAAGCUCCGGCUAACUCCGUG